rnacentral:tRNA from 1 species
GCCGAAGUGGCGGAAUGGUAGACGCAACGGACUUAAAAUCCGUCGGUAAGCGAUUGCCGUGGGGGUUCGAGUCCCCCCUUCGGCA